rnacentral:rRNA from 1 species
CUAAAAUCAACCUGAAGAGAACACCACUCUUCAGAGUUUUGGUGAUUCAUAAUAACUAAGCGAAUCGCAUAGUUUUGUGCUGGUGAUAUAUCAUUCAAGUUUCUGACCUAUCAGCCAUCGACGGUGGGGUAUUGGCCUACCGUGGCAUUGACGGGUAACGGAGAAUUAGGGUUCGAUUCCGGAGAGGGAGCCUGAGAAACGGCUACCACAUCUAAGGAUGGCAGCAGGCGCGCAAAUUACCCAAUCCUGACACAGGGAGGUAGUGACAAGAAAUAACAAUACAGGGCAACAUUGUCUUGUAAUUGGAAUGAGUAAAUUUUAAAUCCCUUUACGAGUAUCAAUUGGAGGGCAAGUCUGGUGCCAGCAGCCGCGGUAAUUCCAGCUCCGAUAGCGUAUAUUAAAGUUGUUGUGGUUAAAAAGCUCGUAGUUGAACCUUGGGCCUGGCUGGCCGGUCCGCCUCACCGCGUGCACUGGUCCGGCCGGGCCUUUCCCUCUGUGGAACCCCAUACCCUUCACUGGGCGUGGCGGGGAAACAGGACAUUUACUUUGAAAAAAUUAGAGUGCUCCAGGCAGGCC